AAUGCGAGUAUUUAAAUGAGUGUAUUUAAAAAAAGAACUUACCUUAAAAAGCAUUUACAAAGAGUGUGUCCAUGAGACUCUCAGAACGCUGGGGUGAAAAAAUAAAGCAGCUCCUUCUCAGUGAAGUCCUGCUGCUGGAGGGUGGAUGUCUCUGUGCCGUGACUGAAACAGGACUGGAAGGCGUUGAGGGACUCCCAGGGUAUUUAUAGAGAGCUCGUUACUAUGGCAACGCAGCCAGCUGAAACCGGACUCCCUUCCACGUCUGAACCGGUUCAGCCCUCGUCACCUCAUCCACAUGGUGGAAAAGACAGACAGAGACCGCACAAGAUUACAAAAGGUUCCCCCUUAGCCAGCUGGUAUGGAUUAAAGAAGCGCUGCAUCUGUGUCAAUCUCAGGGAUGCUCUCUCACGCUGUCAGACGGCAACAGUCUGCUGUCUGACAGCGUGACCUCACUCGACGACCGUCUGUUCAGCCUGACCUUCUUGACGAGAUUAAAGGAGAUCGCAACAUGA